CUCGGCUUCCUGAGGCUCCGAGGCUGGGGGCCGGGAGUGGGGGGACGUGGGCUGGGCCGAGGAAGGGGUAGAGGGUUGAAAGUGGAGUUUAGAGGGGCCAAUGGGGACCUGGAGGAAUGCUGGGACCUAGGGUGGCGGUAGGGUCUGGAAGGGAUGUUGAGGACCUGGAGGGGACACUGGGGACCUGGAAGGGACGCUGGAGACCUGGAGGGGGCUUUGGGGCCUGGAGAAGACACUGGGAUUUGGAGGGGGUAACGGUACCUGGAAGCGACGCUGGGGUUUGGAGGGGAUGGUGGGACCUGGGAGGGGUGUUGGGGACCUAGGGAAAUAGUAACUAGAGGGGUGGUGGGGAAUAUGAGGAUUCCUGAAAAAAAGGUGAGGAGAGUGAGGGCAAGAAUUUGGGGCUGGGUACACAUCUGCAGGUCUGAAGUACCGGGAUGUCUGGUGGGGCAGUGAGGGUGAUGUUUUGUCCUGCCGAAACUGCGACUGCGAUAACACCCCUCAAAAGUGGUGGCAGGAGUACCCUAAUUGUCUACAGAUGAGGCAGGUUGAGAUGCCUCAGGAAGAAGCAGAGUGCCAGGGUGAUCAGUCCAAAGUGUUUGUUAGGGAAUCCUGUAUACAGAGGUACUGCUGUGCAUCCUCACUCUGGGCAGUGAAAAAAAGGGGUGUCCUAUUUAGGAGUGUGGGUGGGCAGGGGGUCAGGAUAUGGAGUUUGUGCGAAGGUUUCAGAAAUUUGGCUCAGGCCCAAGACCAAUUUCUUUCUAGCAAACUAACAUGCCUUUCCCAACGCCUGGGGAUGUUAAAGGCACUGCUGGGAAAAACCUGCAGCUGGCCAGGUCACAGAUGAUUCAAGUCACUGAUUUUGGGUUCAAGAUGGAGACAGAGAGGGGAACUGGGCAACUCUAGAGGGGGAUGUCUCAUCAUGAAUCUUCUCAACUCAAAUCUACCUGCAUAAAAACAGAGAAGAGAGAUUUAUUAACUGCGUGAGCCAGGCCAUCAUGCACAAGGGUGGUCUGCAAGAAAGUACGGAGCCUGGGCAGCCUCACACCGGGAAGUAGAAGGAAGUACAGUUAUAACCUCUCUUAGCACCUCAAGAGAAAUUAGAUGCACCUGUGCUAGGCUCCUGCACCUGGCAGGAGACCACUGGGUCAGUUUUGGAGGUCUGAGUUUGCUGUUUAAGGGUUGGCAGACUGAUGCUGUGGUUUGUAAGAUCUGGAGACCAGGUUGUUUCUUUCUUUUUUUUUUUUUUGUCACACUCGGUAGAGUGCUAGGGUGUCAUAGCUCACAGCAAUCUCAAACUCUUGGGCUCAAGCAGUCCUCUUGCCUCAGCCUCCUGAGUAGCUGGGAGUAUAGGUGCCUACCACAACGCUGGCUAUUUUACUUUCUAAGAGAUGGCGGUUUUGCUCUUGCUCAGGCUGGUCUCGAACUAGUGAGGUCAAGCAAUCCACCUGCCUUGGCCUCCCACAGUGCUAGGAUUAUAGGCAUGCGCUUCUGUGCCUGACCCAGGUUGUCUCAUUCUUGACCAAAAGGACACAUCCUAGGACUGGGAGGGCAACUGCUUUCCCUUUGUCCAGUGGUGAAAAUGUUUUAUUCAUCCUUGUAAGCAAGCAGAGAUAAGGGGGGUUAUGGAGUGUUGGGGACAAUUUUCAGGGGCAUGAAGUUUAUCCAGAAGUAGGACAAAGAGGAUCCUAAGAGAGAAGGACGGGGUCUGAGGGGUUAAGGGAAUAAGGGUGGGAGGUGGCGGGUUGCUGGUGGGGAUUGUCUGAUUCCUUGUGUGUUGCAGUCUCUUCCUGGCGGGUUUCACUGUGACUUGUAAAAAUAAGGUACAGAAUUCUUUAUUGGAUUAAAAUGAAAAUAUCUGGACAAGUUAAGAUUGAGAAAAAAGAAUCACCAUAAUCUUAUCUAUAAAAGACCUUUUUAAUUUAUUUUUUUUUCUGUAUUUCUUUUUUUAUUUCAAAUUAAUGGAACAAAUUUUUAGGUUACAGUGUCCUCACUUCUAAGGUAAAGUUCAAGUUAUAGGAGAGCCCCUCACCUAGGGGAGCAUGCCGAAUACCCAUACAUUGUGCAAGGUGAAAUCCCACCAAAUACCCUCCCUCCUCUCGGUGGCAAUCCCCUCUCCCUCUUGAUCUCUCCCUCCUCACCCCUCCUUCUUGCUAGACUAUAUUUGUUUUUUAUCUUUUGUAUGAGUGUGUAAGUAUUUAUAUAUUGGUUUCUUAUUAGUAUUGAGUACAUAAGAUACUAUUUUUCCUUUUUUUUUUUUUUUCUUGAGACAGAGUCUCACUUUGUCACCCUUGGUAGAGUACCGUGGCAUUGUAGCUCACAGGAACCUCAAAACUCUUGGGCUGAAGCGAUUCUCUUGCCUAAGCCUCCCCAGUAGCUCAGACUACAGGUGCCCACCACAAUGCCCAGCAAUUUUUGGAGAAUGGGGUCUCUCUUUUGCUCAGGCUGGUCUCAAACCUGUGGGCUCAGGGAAGUCCACCCACCUCGGCCUCCCAGAGUGCUAGGAUUACAGGUGUGAGCCACUUUUUUUUCCAUUCUUGAGAUACUUUACUAAGAAGAAUGUGUUUCAACUCCAAAAAAUCUGGAACGCUUCACAAAUUUCCAUGUCAUCCUUGUGUAGGGGCCAUGCUGAUCUUGUCUGUAUCAUUCCAAUUUUAGUAUAUGUGCUGCCAAAGUGAACACUAUUUUUAUUUUCUUUUAGACAGAGUUUCACUUUGUUGCCUUGGGUAGAGUGCUGUUUCAUCAUCAUAGCUCAUAGCAACCAAACUCUUGGGUUCAGGUGAUCCUCUUGCCUUGUUUUUUUUUUUUUUUGUUUUUUUUUUUUUAAUUUAGUAGAGAUGAGGUCUUACUCAUGCUCAGGUCUUGAACUCCUGAGCUCAAGCAAUCCACCUGCCUCAGCCUCCCAGAGUGCCAAGAUAAUAGGCAUGAGCCACUGUGCCCAGUUUAUCAAAGACCUUUUUGAGAAAAAAAAAAAAAAGAAUUAAAGGCUUUAGGUGCCCCGUAGUUUAGUGGUUAGGGUGCUGGCCACAUGCUCUGGGGCUGGUGGAUUCAAACCCAGCCUGGGCCUGCUAAACAAAAAAAUAUAGCCGGCCGUUGUUGACAGGGCCCUGUAGUCCUAGCUACUAAAGAGGCUGAGGCAAAAGAAUCACUUGAGCCCAAGAGUUUGAGGUUGCUGUGAGCUAUGACACCAUGGCACUCUACCAAGGGCGAUGAAGUGAGACUCUGUCUCAAAAAAAAAAAAAAAAGGUUUCGAAGAUCAGGUACAGUUUAGUUACUUGAAUAUAUUGCCUGCUGGUGAAGCCUGGGCUUAUAGUGUGACUUUUCCCUGAAUAGUGUACAUUGCACCUGUGAAGUGAUUUCUUAUCCUUUCCUCUUCCCCCACCAAGUCUCUGUUGUCUAUUGUUCCACACACUGCUUCCAUGUUCUUACUUCUAGGUGAGAACAUGCAGUAUUUGACUUUAUAAGUUAUUAAUAUUUCAUUUAAGAUAAUAGCUUCCUGUUCCAUCUACAUUGCUGCAAAAGAAAUGAUUUCAUUAUUAUGGCUGUAUAGUAUUCUGUGAUGUAUCUCUCUCUUUCUCUCUCUCUUUUUUUUUUAUAAAGACAGUCUUACUCUGUUACCACGCUGGAACACUGUGGCAUUGCCAUAGCUCACUGCAACCUCAAACUCCUGGGCUCAGGUGAACCUCCUGCCUAAGCCUCCAGAAUAUCUGGGUCUACAGGGGCCAUCCCCAAGACCAGUUAAUAGAUUUUUUUUAUAUAGAGAUAGGGUCUUGCUAUGUUGUGCAGGCUGGUCUCAAACUCCUGACCUCAAGUAAUCCUCUUGACUCAAUCUCUCAAAGUAGUAGGAUUACAGGCCUGAGCCACUGCACUCAGCCUUCAUGUUUUCUUUAUUCAGUUUUCUGUUGAUAGACACUUAGGUUGAGUCCGUAUCUUUGCUCUUGUGAAUAGUGCUGUGAUAAACCCAUGAGUACAGGUAUCUUUUUUUAUAUAUGGGUAUCUUUUCUGUUGGGUAGAUAUCCAGUGGUGGGAUUGCUGAAUUGAAUGGUAGUUCUAUUUUUAGUCCAGAGAAGAACACUUUUUAUUUUCUGAUACGAAACUUAUCUUUCCAGGGAUACAUUCAUGGAUGUAUUUGUUCAAGUAUUCUCUUUUCCCCUUCUCUCCCCACAUGCCCACCUUGUAUUUGCAUCUCCAUAUAUGUACAACCAUGCCCACACACAGAAUGUCUCUCUGCCGCCCCACCAUAUAAAGUAUAUAAGUUUAUGGACAUUAACUUGCUAUUUUUAACCUUUUUUUUGCCUUUCAAUCUACAAUAUCCUUCACUAUCUUGCUACCUAAUGGCUAAAGGCCCCUUAUUAAUAAUUAGGUGUUUGAUUUCAGCUGUGGUGAGUACAGAUGUGGGAGACUGAUGGAAGGAAGUUGGAGCAGAGUAUUUAUUGUUGUCUCAGGAUCUGAGAAGUAUGAAAUUCAAAUAGGCAUUGCUUGGGUGGAGUUCCCACAGGUUUUUGGUUGAGACUCAGUUUCCUGAGAAAAGGGAGGUCAGGGCCAAGACCACAGGGGCAGUAAACCUAUGACUCUGGGAGGGAGAUGGAGGCUUUUUCUUCAGCAUUCCUUUUGGGCCGGAAACUUGUGCAUUAUGACCCGUGGUCCACCUGGUGGCCCUGUGGUGUCAGGAUUACCACUGUUGUAUGCAGGAAGCCUACAGAGUUGUUAGCUCUGACGGCAUUGGGACACAGGUGUGUCUUCCCAAGGCCCACAGAGCAGCCCUGGGAUCACCUGGGAGUUAGUGGGACAUGCACAUUCUAGAGCCCAACCAGCCCCACAGAAUCCAACCCUCAGGGAGGACCUUAAAGUUAGCGCUUUGGGGGAAAUGCAGUGGGAAUGGUGCAGAAUCUUUGCUCUCCUGUAACAGCCCCAGAACCUCCCAAGCUGGAGCUGAGAACAUCUGAGGGAGUGGAAAGCAGGUCUGUGGAAGCAGGAGGGCAGGUCAUGGAAAAGCCAGCAGCACCCACCACCCCCACUGUGCAUACACAGCCGCCACUGUUCUUGCUCGGAGCCUUCUUGUGGUAGUCAGUUCGUGGAAGGGUGCACAUGAGUGAUGGAAAUGCUGAAAGAGAUCAUUAUGCGAAUUGCAGUGCUUGAAGAGUGCAGUCCAGGUGACCAUGGACUCCUUCCCCAAGAGCAUCACUUGUGCUGGAGUGUGAUGGUAUGAUCAUAGUUCUCUGCAGCCUCCAACUCCUAGACUUAAGUAAUCCUCCCUGUGGGCCUCCAGAGUAGCUGGGACUAUAGGCACG